GUUAUAGAUCAAGCGGAGACAGAGGAGAAAUAGCAAUUGAUGACAUCUCAUUCAGUAGUGGAAAUUGUCCUCCACAAAGAUAUUGUGAUUUUGAGCAUGGUGAUUGGUGUGGAUUUGAUCAGGAUUACAAUGAUCAAGGAGAUUGGAAUGUGGAACCUAAUGAUUUCAGCUCCUUGGCCUUAACCUAUGGACCUGAUACAGAUCACACAUAUGGAACAAGUCUAGGCCAUUUCAUCUACGUGGACAGUGUUGUGAACAACGUCCAGGCCAAGGUCCG